rnacentral:misc_RNA from 1 species
GAUGAAGAACGUAGCGAAAUGCGAUACGUAAUGUGAAUUGCAGAAUUCAGUGAAUCAUCGAAUCUUUGAACGCAUAUUGCGCUCUUUGGUAUUCCGAAGAGCAUGCUUGUUUGAGUAUCAGUAAACACCUCAAAAGAUUUUCAUUUUUGAAAUGAUUUUGGACUUGAGCAAUCCCAACACCAGUCUUCACGGAUCGGCGGAGGGUUGCUUGAAAUGCAGGUGCAGCUGGACAUUCUCCUGAGCUAAAAGCAUAUCUAUUUAGUCCCGUCAAACGGAUUAUUACUUUUGCUGCAGCUAACAUAAAGGGAGUUUGACCAUUUUGGCUGACUGAUGCAGGAUUUCACAAGGGUCGGUAAAACGAUUUUUGUAAAACUCGAUCUCAAAUCAAGUAAGACUACCCGCUGAACUUAAGCAUAUCAUAAGCGGAGGA